rnacentral:rRNA from 1 species
AUUGAACGCUGGCGGCAUGCCUUACACAUGCAAGUCGAACGGCAGCACGGGAGCAAUCCUGGUGGCGAGUGGCGAACGGGUGAGUAAUAUAUCGGAACGUGCCCAGUCGUGGGGAUAACGUAGCGAAAGUUACGCUAAUACCGCAUACGAUCUAAGGAUGAAAGCGGGGGACUCGCAAGAGCCUCGCGCGAUUGGAGCGGCCGAUAUCAGAUUAGGUAGUUGGUGGGGCAAAGGCUCACCAAGCCAACGAUCUGUAGCUGGUCUGAGAGGACGACCAGCCACACUGGAACUGAGACACGGUCCAGACUCCUACGGGAGGCAGCAGUGGGGAAUUUUGGACAAUGGACGCAAGUCUGAUCCAGCCAUUCCGCGUGCAGGAUGAAGGCCCUCGGGUUGUAAACUGCUUUUGUACGGAACGAAACGGUGAGCUCUAAUACAGUUUGCUAAUGACGGUACCGUAAGAAU